GGCAGUAUCCAAGGGGAUUUGACAAAGCUAGGUUCAAUGAUUUCAAAUUGUUGACCAUUAUAACAGGUUCAGCAGUGUUCCAAAUUGAUAUGGACAGUAAACUGAACAAUUGUUUUGGUAUUUUGUAAGCACGAUCGACAAUUUGGAAGUGAUAAUUUAGUGAGUAGGUUUGUGUGGGUGGGGUUAAUUCACAGUACAUAACCCGGAGAACAUUAAGAUAAGAUAUUAUUCAUUAAUUAACCAAACUUGUUGUCCUAUCUACUCCUACGCUGAUGAUACCACCCUACAUCUUUCCACAUCCUUUCAGAGACGACCAACCCAUCAGGAAGUCAACUGAUCACGCAGGGACGCCAAAGAACGCCUGACUUCCGAUCUUUCUAAGAUUUCCGAUUGGGGCAGAGGAAAUCUAGUAGUUUUCAAUGCCUCAAAAUCUCAAAAUUCCUCCAUCUAUCAACUCGGCACAACCUUUCAGACAAGUACAGACGUUGACGAGUACGUCGAGUCGCCAAGAUCCUCUCCCUGUGGACUAUCCCCUCAGCAGUGUUCCAUCCGCCCAGCAGCAGCAACGGUCAGGAGAAGGCGGUCAUUGAAGUGUCAAGUCCCCAAGCUGGCAUGGUGGUGGGUGUUGUGCUGGGCUCCCAUGGGGUUCUUUGCCUAGCUGUUGGGGAUUCAGUACUACUAAC